ensembl:miRNA
GGCCUCCCAGCUCGGUCUCUGCUUCAGCUCCAGGAAAGAAUUAUUCUAAGAGCAGUCAGGACGGAUUUGGUACAUG